AUGUGUUCAUACUUUCUCUCUAUACAAAACCAACCUCCCUUUCACUCUGUUUUGUGUCCCACUUAAAGUGAAAUCAAGAAGGGACAAGAAAAAAACAGGUAAUGUUUAAUGUGUUUGGAGAAUGCCUUUGAUACCUUCAGUAGAAAUGUUGAUUGCAUGCCUGAUAAUCUUACACACACCUAACGAGACACCCACAACACCCCACAGAUUUCCAAAUCGGCCGCUCAAAGAGACCACUAUGUCUCCUGCUGCACACAACUAUGCAUGCACCGAGAGAUCUACCAAGAUAAUGGAAACACAUACGACGUAUUUCUAAGAUUCUCAUAAUCAUUGUUUGUUCAAAGCCUUUAGAGAAUAAAAAGUGUCUUUGUCGUGCAUCCUGUGUUAGGGCAUCUGUAACAUCUGACCCCUCUUACCACUAGUAUUGUUUGCAUUGCCCUUGAUGGGUUGCCCAUU